AUGUAUGUAAAUGUAACGUAAUGUAGGAAAGGAAACGUGGAAGUUAAAAUACUGAAAUAAAUACUGAUAACAGUGUGCGUUUUGGUGGCUUUUGAACAGUUUUUUGGCUGGAAUUCAGCUGGAUCUGGCAACACUGCCCUCUGGUCCCACAGUCACACAGACCACUGCAGCCAACGCACAGGACAACUCCACCAACAACAGGAGAGGAAAACACAGCUUAUUAUAGACAUGGAUGGACUGACCGAGAUUGGCACCCGCUCUCCUGCUAGUGGGCCGGUGCUGUUGGUACAUGGAGGAGAAGCACAGCACACUGUCCAGUGUAGAAAUAGACACAAGCCCACGGUGUGGUCUCACAUGAGUGGAGCUUCACACAUCUGAGUGCCCAUCCUCAUUUUUUUCCCCAGCAACUAUGGAAAAAAUAUCAACCCUAAAACAACAACAACAUAAAUCAUCAGUGUGUCGCUGAGUUUGAACUGAAGUGAUUAAGUUUGAAGACAUUCUGACGUCAACAGGACAGAGGCAUCCCACUGCCCAGAGCACAGGUCAGACCAAUGACUUUGGCCACAAACGUCUUAAAAGUCAGGUACUCCUUCAGGACCACCCCCCUCAGUAUCGUCUUCAUCUCAGGAAUGCCUGAACCUGGGAGAUGAAAGGACAGAGGCGCCAGCCUGAGGUGACAGUAUCUGUGUGAAUCCUGCUGAGAAAGUGAUGAGCACUACAGGAAGGCGAUGGCGUAGUCCAUGACCCAGCUGACCAGAGCCAUGAGCAGCCCCAGCAGAAUGAGGAAGAUCCAGUCCUCCCCCACCCGUGAGAUCAGGAACUUCUGGCAGCGAGACGCACACACUAAGGACACACAGACAGAAAGAGACAAAGGAAAGCAAAAAAGUAAAAUCUCUGAAAUAAAUCUUCAAGGUGUGAAGGA